rnacentral:rRNA from 1 species
AUUGAACGCUGGCGGCAUGCCUUACACAUGCAAGUCGAACGGCAGCACGGGAGCAAUCCUGGUGGCGAGUGGCGAACGGGUGAGUAAUAUAUCGGCACGUGCCCAGUCGUGGGGGAUAACGUAGCGAAAGCUACGCUAAUACCGCAUGCGAUCUAUGGAUGAAAGCGGGGGAUCGCAAGACCUCGCGCGAUUGGAGCGGCCGAUAUCAGAUUAGGUAGUUGGUGAGGUAAAGGCUCACCAAGCCGACGAUCUGUAGCUGGUCUGAGAGGACGACCAGCCACACUGGGACUGAGACACGGCCCAGACUCCUACGGGAGGCAGCAGUGGGGAAUUUUGGACAAUGGGCGCAAGCCUGAUCCAGCAAUGCCGCGUGCAGGAUGAAGGCCUUCGGGUUGUAAACUGCUUUUGUACGGAGCGAAAAGGCUUCCACUAAUACUGGGGGCUCAUGACGGUACCGUAAGAAUAAGCACCGGCUAACUACGUGCCAGCCGCCGCCGUAAGAC